AUUCUGGUGUCUUAGUCGUAGAGGAACCACACCAAUCCAUCCCGAACUCGGUGGUGAAACUCUACUGCGGUGACGAUACUGCAGGGGAAGCCCCGCGGGAAAAUAGCUCGGCGCCAGGGUGUGAAGAAGCUUAGCGCCCA
rnacentral:rRNA from 1 species